rnacentral:rRNA from 1 species
UAGGGAAUUUUCGUCAAUGGGGGGAACCCUGAACGAGCAAUGCCGCGUGAGUGAGGAAGGUCUUCGGAUCGUAAAGCUCUGUUGUAAGAGAAAAACGGCACUCAUAGGGAAUGAUGAGUGAGUGAUGGUAUCUUACCAGAAAGUCACGGCUAACUACGUGCCAGCAGCCGCGGUAAUACGUAGGUGGCGAGCGUUAUCCGGAAUGAUUGGGCGUAAAGGGUGCGUAGGUGGCAGAUCAAGUCUGGAGUAAAAGGUAUGGGCUCAACCCGUACUGGCUCUGGAAACUGAUCAGCUAGAGAACAGAAGAGGACGGCGGAACUCCAUGUGUAGCGGUAAAAUGCGUAGAUAUAUGGAAGAACACCGGUGGCGAAGGCGGCCGUCUGGUCUGGAUUCUGACACUGAAGCACGAAAGCGUGGGGAGCAAAUAGGAUUAGAUACCCUAGUAGUCCACGCCGUAAACGAUGAGAACUAGGCGUUGGGGGAAUAACUCAGUGCCGCAGUUAACGCAGUAAGUUCUCCGCCUGGGGAGUAUGCACGCAAGUGUGAAACUCAAAGGAAUUGACGGGGGCCCGCACAAGCGGUGGAGUAUGUGGUUUAAUUCGAAGCAACGCGAAGAACCUUACCAGGCCUUGACAUCCCUUGCAGAGGUAUAGAGAUAUAUCCGAGGUUAUCAAGGAGACAGGUGGUGCAUGGUUGUCGUCAGCUCGUGUCGUGAGAUGUUGGGUUAAGUCCCGCAACGAGCGCAACCCUUGUGAUAUGUUACUAACAUUGAGUUGAGGACUCAUAUCAGACUGCCGGUGAUAAACCGGAGGAAGGUGGGGAUGACGUCAAAUCAUCAUGCCCCUUAUGGCCUGGGCUACACACGUACUACAAUGGCGUCUACAAAGAGCGGCAAGCCUGUGAAGGCAAGCGAAUCUCAUAAAGGACGUCUCAGUUCGGAUUGAAGUCUGCAACCCGACUUCAUGAAGCUGGAAUCGCUAGUAAUCGCGAAUCAGCAUGUCGCGGUGAAUACGUUCUC